rnacentral:rRNA from 1 species
GAUGAACGCUGGCGGCGUGCCUAAUACAUGCAAGUCGAGCGAACGGACGAGAAGCUUGCUUCUCUGAUGUUAGCGGCGGACGGGUGAGUAACACGUGGAUAACCUACCUAUAAGACUGGGAUAACUUCGGGAAACCGUAGCUAAUACCGGAUAAUAUUUUGAACCGCAUGGUUCAAAAGUGAAAGACGGUCUUGCUGUCACUUAUAGAUGGAUCCGCGCUGCAUUAGCUAGUUGGUAAGGUAACGGCUUACCAAGGCAACGAUGCAUAGCCGACCUGAGAGUGGGAGCGUCCCCACCGGAAGAGAGUCACGGGCCACACUCGGACUGGGAGCCGGAGCAGGCUCUCACCGGCAACAGGCGUAAGCAUGACUGCGCAACGCGGCGUGGGCUAAGACAGUCUCCGGACCUGAAGACUCACUUACUUGGGAAUGACAUCUUUGUAAGGCACUGAACACGCCUUGGCGGUGGUUCAUCAGAAAACCACGGCUAAUAACUUC